UCAUGGCUCAGAUUGAACGCUGGCGGAAUGCUUUACACAUGCAAGUCGAACGGCAGCACGGACUUCGGUCUGGUGGCGAGUGGCGAACGGGUGAGUAAUGUAUCGGAACGUAUCCAGUAAUGGGGGAUAACUAAUCGAAAGGUUGGCUAAUACCGCAUACGCCCUACGGGGGAAAGCAGGGGAUCUUCGGACCUUGCGUUAAUGGAGCGGCCGAUAUCUGAUUAGCUAGUUGGUGAGGUAAGAGCUCACCAAGGCGACGAUCAGUAGCUGGUCUGAGAGGACGACCAGCCACACUGGAACUGAGACACGGUCCAGACUCCUACGGGAGGCAGCAGUGGGGAAUUUUGGACAAUGGGCGCAAGCCUGAUCCAGCCAUUCCGCGUGAGUGAAGAAGGCCUUCGGGUUGUAAAGCUCUUUCGCAAGGGAAGAAACGAUGCAGACGAAUAAUCUGUGUUAAUGACGGUACCUUGAUAAGAAGCACCGGCUAACUACGUGCCAGCAGCCGCGGUAAUACGUAGGGUGCAAGCGUUAAUCGGAAUUACUGGGCGUAAAGCGUGCGCAGGCGGUUUUGUAAGUCAGAUGUGAAAUCCCCGAGCUCAACUUGGGAACUGCGUUUGAAAC
rnacentral:rRNA from 1 species